GGAGAUAAAUUCGGCCUCGUGCCAUAGUAACACCCUUUCUGCUGGCGACCCUCAAUGGAGUAACAGUGUGGUCGUGUAGUCAUCGAAAUAUAGGUUUUGAGUUCAGUUUUAGUUGUAUAAAUUAUACCUAUACACCAUUUUUGUGUUUUUGUAUCGAGUUUUUAAGAUAUAUUUAUUUUUUUACAUUUUAUAUGAAAAGGAAGCGGAUAUAUUAGCAAGUAUACAUAUCUACAGGUCAAAAUGAUGCGUUUUCAUAAUCGAAAUCUGGACCUGGCUUUAUGGGAAUGGAACCUCAACUUUUGAAAGACGCAAGCAGGGAGAUGUUCAGUAAGGCAUUUACUCCAGGUGACCUGGCUUUCUACAACGGAGUUGAUUUGAGGUUCACUUUCCCCCUCCACAUUUAUAUUCUCUUUAUAUAGGCCUGCUAGAGACCGUAGAUUAGAAUAUAACUGUGACUUGUAGACUUGUCCAUUUUGAGUUUUGAUGUCUUGUUUAAAAGUUGAGUGCAAUAUACUGUCAGUGAUGUAAUGACUUGAAACCACCACAAUAAAUUCUUAUUUAUAUCUGA